rnacentral:rRNA from 1 species
CCUACGGGAGGCAGCAGUGAGGAAUAUUGGUCAAUGGACGAGAGUCUGAACCAGCCAAGUAGCGUGAAGGAUGACUGCCUUAUGGGUUGUAAACUCCUUUUAUAUGGGAAUAAAACGUUCCACGUGUGGGAUUUUGUAUGUACCAUAUGAAUAAGGACCGGCUAACUCCGUGCCAGCAGCCGCGGUAAUACGGAGGAUCCGAGCGUUAUCUGGAUUUAUUGGGUUUAAAGGGAGCGUAGGUGGAUUGGUAAGUCAGUUGUGAAAGUUUGCGGUUCAACCGUAACAUUGCAGUUGAAACUAGCAGACUUGAGUACAGUAGAGGUGGGCAGAAUUCGUGGUGUAGCGGUGAAAUGCUUAGAUAUCACGAAGAACUCCGAUUGCGAAGGCAGUUCACUGGACUGCAACUGACACUGAGGCUCGAAAGUGUGGGUAUCAAACAGGAUUAGAUACCCUUGUAGUC